rnacentral:rRNA from 1 species
GACGAACGCUGGCGGCGUGCUUAACACAUGCAAGUCGAACGGAAAGGCCCUGCUUUUGUGGGGUGCUCGAGUGGCGAACGGGUGAGUAACAGGUGAGUAACCUGCCCUUGAUUUUGGGAUAACUUCAGGAAACUGGGGCUACUACCGGAUAGGAGCUCCUGCUGCAUGGUGGGGGUUGGAAAGUUUCGGCGGGCGGGGAUGGAGUCGCGGCUUACCGGCUUGUUGGUGGGGUAGUGGAUUACCAAGGCUUUGGCGGGUAGCCGGCCUGAGAGGGUGGACGGCCACAUUGGUCCUGAGAUACGGCCCAGACUCCUACGGUAGGCAGCAGUGGGGAAUAUUGCACAAUGGGCGGAAGCCUGAUGCAGCAACGCCGCGUGCGGGAUGACGGCCUGCGGGUUGUAAACCGCUUUCGCCUGUGACGAAGCGUGAGUGACGGUAAUGGGUAAAGAAGCACCGGCUAACUACGUG